rnacentral:rRNA from 1 species
ACGAACGCUGGCGGCAUGCCUCACACAUGCAAGUCGAACGCGACCUUCGGGUCUAGUGGCGCACGGGUGCGUAACGCGUGGGAACCUGCCCUUAGGUUCGGAAUAACUCCCCGAAAGGGGUGCUAAUACCGGAUAAUGUCUUCGGACCAAAGAUUUAUCGCCUUUGGAUGGGCCCGCGUUGGAUUAGCUAGUUGGUAGGGUAAAAGCCUACCAAGGCGACGAUCCAUAGCUGGUCUGAGAGGAUGAUCAGCCACACUGGGACUGAGACACGGCCCAGACUCCUACGGGAGGCAGCAGUGGGGAAUAUUGGACAAUGGGCGAAAGCCUGAUCCAGCAAUGCCGCGCGAGUGAUGAAGGCCUUAGGGUUGUAAAGCUCUUUUACCCGGGAUGAUAAUGACAGUACCGGGAGAAUAAGCUCCGGCUAACUCCGUG